AUUUUAGGGUCUCUCUCUUUGGAUAUAAAUACUUAUUCUCUUCCAGUCGUAGACAUAACUUUUUGCCGUAUUUUUUUCUCAAUUAAAGGUUGUUCUUAGUUUUAAGGAUUUGUAAAUAUGUUUUCUUAAUUUUUUUUGAUUUUAUAUGAGUUAUUAUUCUACGUUUAUCAUGUCUUCUCUAGUUCAUGUGUGAGUAGUUUAUCUUUUAAGUUUUUGGAGUUUCCGUAAAAGAAAACUUAAUGAAUCUUGGGUAAAUAUAUAAAACGUCAUUUAAAUCACUAGUUUACCAUUUUCGUUGGUUUAAACCAUAAACUUUAGAUCUAUUGAUUUAAAUUUUUAAAUUUAUGUUGAUUUUCAAUUUAAUCACGAAUUUUCGUUGACUAACUUAAUUGAUUAUAGUUCCUCCGUUUAAAAUUAGUUAUCGUUUAACGUUUCUUCACGAAUAUUAAGAAAAUAUUUCAUUAUUCCGUUUUAACUUUAAUUAAUGUAUUGUUUAUUUGAUAUCAUA
rnacentral:sRNA from 1 species